AGAGUUUGAUCCUGGCUCAGGGCUAACGCUGGCGGCGUGUCUUAGCCAUGCAAGUCGAGCGGACUUAUGGGGUAACUUAUAAGUCAGCGGCGGACGGCGGAGUAACACGUAGCUAACCUACCCUCUGGACGGGGAUAACCUACCGAAAGGUGGGCUAAUACCCGAUGUAGUCAUCCUGUAUAGGGGUGAUGAAAGGUGGGCUUCUGUUUACAAGCUCAUGCUGGAGGAGGGGGCUGCGGCCUAUCAGGUAGUUGGUAGGGUAAUAGCCUACCAAGCCGAUGACGGGUAGCCGGCCUGAGAGGGUGACCGGCCCGAGGGGCACUGAGAUACGGGUCCCACUCCUACGGGAGGCAGCAGGCUAGAAAUUUGGGCAAUGGGGGAAACCCUGACCCAGUGACGCCGCGUGCAGGAAGGAGCCCUUCGGGGUGUAAACUGCUGUCGUGUAGGGAGAAGGGUACUAAGGUGAACAAUCUUAGUACUUGACGGUACUACAGGAGGAAGCCCAGGCUAACCUCGUGCCAGCAGCCGCGGUAAUACGGGGUGGGCGAGCGUUGCCCGGAAUUACUGGGUUUAAAGGGGGUGUAGGCGGUCUGGAUAGUCGGGUGUGUAAUGCAAUCGCUCAACGAUUGAGCUGCAUCUGAUACUUCCAGGCUAGAGGGCGGUAGAGGAGAGCGGAACUCCCGGUGUAGCGGUGAAAUGCGUAGAUAUCGGGAGGAACGCCGGUGGCGAAGGCGGCUCUCUGGGCCGUUCCUGACGCUGAGGCCCGAAAGCUGGGGGAGCGAAAGGGAUUAGAUACCCCUGUAGUCCCAGCCGUAAACGAUGGGCACUAGGUGUACCUUUUAACGGAGGUAUACCGUCGGGAAACCAAUAAGUGCCCCACCUGGGGAGUACGCCCGCAAGGGUGAAACUCAAAUGAAUUGACGG
rnacentral:rRNA from 1 species